CCGGAAAAAGAUUCUUGGAGACCAAAUAUUAAACUGAGAAGGUAUACAUAAUCUAGCCAAACGUACGCAAAGGCUUAGGAUUACGUAACAAACAUAAAAUAAGUCAACCUUAACCCUAGAGUUAUACAUCAUGGUUCUAUAUAUAUAUGAGUUAAGGCUUAGUUAUUUGUUGCUCAUACUAAUCAAUAUAUAUGUUCAAACUCAUAAUGCAUGGAUACAUAACUUUAAUUAGUAUAAGUGAAUUGUGAUUGCAUCCCAGGGUAGAUCAUGUAGUAGCUCCUUCUAACAAAAUAACAUUACAAGUACAAUUAAUAAUAAUCAUAUCCAACAAGAAUUAGUAAACAAUUAUCAAACAGUUAACUCCUCCGUGCACCCAAUUCCUAUAUGUCCUUGCUGGUGAUUGAUAUUUGAUUCUUCCUACUCUCACUUUAACAUGAUGUAGGCAGCCGGUGUACACGGCACGCAGGUCCAAUGAAGGACCGCA
rnacentral:lncRNA from 1 species